GAUGAACGCUGGCGGCGUGCCUAAUACAUGCAAGUCGAGCGAACAGACGAGGAGCUUGCUCCUCUGACGUUAGCGGCGGACGGGUGAGUAACACGUGGAUAACCUACCUAUAAGACUGGGAUAACUUCGGGAAACCGGAGCUAAUACCGGAUAAUAUAUUGAACCGCAUGGUUCAAUAGUGAAAGACGGUUUUGCUGUCACUUAUAGAUGGAUCCGCGCCGCAUUAGCUAGUUGGUAAGGUAACGGCUUACCAAGUCAACGAUGCGUAGCCGACCUGAGAGGGUGAUCGGCCACACUGGAACUGAGACACGGUCCAGACUCCUACGGGAGGCAGCAGUAGGGAAUCUUCCGCAAUGGGCGAAAGCCUGACGGAGCAACGCCGCGUGAGUGAUGAAGGUCUUCGGAUCGUAAAACUCUGUUAUUAGGGAAGAGCAAAUGUGUAAGUAACUAUGCACGUCUUGACGGUACCUAAUCAGAAAGCCACGGCUAACUACGUG
rnacentral:rRNA from 1 species